GGGCCCGCACAAGCGGUGGAGCAUGUGGUUUAAUUCGACGCAACGCGAAGAACCUUACCAGGUCUUGACAUCCUGAUUUUGGUUGUUAGAAAUAACUUCCUUCAGUUCGGCUGGAUCAGUGACAGGUGCUGCAUGGCUGUCGUCAGCUCGUGUCGUGAGAUGUUCGGUUAAGUCCGGCAACGAGCGCAACCCACAUCCUUAGUUGCCAGCAGUUCGGCUGGGCACUCUAGGGAAACUGCCCGUGAUAAGCGGGAGGAAGGUGUGGAUGACGUCAAGUCCUCAUGGCCCUUACGGGUUGGGCUACACACGUGCUACAAUGGCAGUGACAAUGGGUUAAUCCCAAAAAACUGUCUCAGUUCGGAUUGGGGUCUGCAACUCGACCCCAUGAAGUCGGAAUCGCUAGUAAUCG
rnacentral:rRNA from 1 species